rnacentral:sRNA from 1 species
CAAGCACCUCGGUAGGUGAGGCGUCUGCACGGACACAGGCCACUGACCCCGAACGUCGAGAGACGCCCCGGGUCAGGACAGCUCUUCCCGGACCCAAGGGUUGAGCCCAAGUGGCUUCCGGGUCGCGACCAUUGGUGAGGAGCGAUCGCAAGCGCGGCGUAGCCGGGCGAAGCGGGUCGCGACCAUCGGUGACGUUCCGGAUACGCCGUGCAGUGCCGAAGCUCCGACGAGAGGGGUGCGAU